UCGUCUAUUUCACCCACAGUCCCUCACCUGCCCUUAUCCAUUCGAACAAAAUCUGUCGGCUUGCAUCUGGUUGGUUCCUCCACUUCUUUGUGCCCUAGCCGUGGCUCCCAGCUCCCCGUCGUCGUCAAGCUCGUCGCCGCCGCCAUCAAGCUCGCCGCUCGCCAUGGUCUCCUGGAACAAUCUGCCAAGCUCCUCCUCGGACGGCGAUUCGGUCACUAGUCCGGCACCUACCACCAUUCUGUCUCUGAAUGAAGUGGCCUUGCAUCAGAACUUGAUGCUAGAUGUGACCACCUAGCAGUGUGUGAGAAGUGGGUGGCUUUUGAAUCAGUGGAUAGUGGCAGGAGGUUCCUAGGUUGUGGAUGCCCAUGAUUCAGUUAUGCCCAUGCUCAUGAGUCAGUUUCAAAAGGUUAAUUUUGCGAAGCUCAUGCUCAUGGUUUUGUGCUCAUGGUCAUGGUCAUGCUGAAAUCUGAAUGUAUGUAGUUCAUGAAUGCUCCUAGAUCAGUGAUGGAUGUAAAGUGAAUGUUUUAGUGAACUUUGUUGACAAUUAACAUAUUUUGCAGUUAAUAGUUAGCACUGAACUGAAUGUUUUCUUUGUUGAGAGUUAACUGAAUUUUUCAGUGAACUAAAUAUUAGCACUGGACUCUGAAUUUUACACUGAACUAAAUGUUAACAGUGAAAUGUGAAAUUUUGACUGAACUAAAAGUGAAAAGUGAACUAAAUCUUAGCAUUGAACUAAAAUUUGUGCACUUCAACUUUUUUGCACAGUUUUGCCUUAACUCUCUACUACCUUAUGUUUAAAUUGUGAGGAAGGGUCAAAAUGCAGCUAUGUGUAAUGGGUUGAUCAUGAGUGGCCUCCUCAACUGAAGAUGGCUUUAGGUAGCAUCUGGGACAUGUAUGAAGAUGAGAAGAAGCUGAGACUCAUGCAAAAUGUUGUUAAUGCUAAAGAAAACUUGUCGAUCCUGAAAGAGAAGGAAAAUAUGGAAGAAGAUGUGAGGUUUUUCAAGGUUGAUUUUUCUAAGAUGGUUGCUCACAUGGAGUGGGCAUUGGAACAACUAGGAAGCACAUAGAUUGCACUCACUAACCUAAAGGAAGAGCUAGAGAAGAAGAAGAUUUGUGAUAAGUCUACCACAAACAUCCAUCAGGUGGUUAGGGACAAGAAAAAGGAAGAGAGUGACUUGAUGAAGCAAGAGAGGGACCAUAUGAAGUAGAAUAGGGACAAAUUCAUGAAACAUAGGGGUAAAUUGGUGCAAGAGAGGGAUAAUUUGGUGUUAGAGAGGGAUCCGUUAAAGCAAGAGAAGAAGAAAUUAGAGUACAUGGUUGGUGAUCUCUUCAAACAUAAAGAGGGCACCAAGGGCAAGAUAAGAAGAUGAAGGAGAUCCUUGAUGAAUUAGAUUGAUGCAUUUGUGUUGUAUUGCUCACAUAAUUUGUAGUAGCUUUAAUUUAAUGAACUUGAGUUGAUUUUAGUAAUUUGUGUACUUGAUUAUGUGUGAACUUGAAGGUCUUUGAUCAUAUUUGUGUGCUGAAGUAUGUGUGAAGUUUAAGUGAUUUGAGUUA